AUGUUCUCUUCUUCCAGAAGCUUUCUUUCUCCCCAGCAAGUACUUCUUCCUAGAAUACAUGCAGUACAGAGAUCAGCUGAGAGGUGGAACCCGAGAUGGAGCCAUCCCUUUGACCACAGCCUGAUUCACCGAGUCACCAAGCCACUCCAGGGUAACCUGAGUGGGUCCAGCCUGUGGGUGUCUGAAAGGUAGGGGAUUCACAAUGGGACACUUAGGUCCUCAUGUGUAAGAGCGUGUGAGUAUAAGAUGUGCAUUGAAUUAACUAGCAAACACCAAACUCUAAGAUGAGAGGUUGAAAGGCUAAUAUAAAUUAGGAGCACUCCCACUAGCUAACAGGUAAUUAACUUAAAGGCUUUGAGUUAUUUGGGGGGAGCAGAGGAGAUACAGGAAGUGAAGAGUACCCAGUACUCACUCUGCCCUGCAAGCUUAUGGACCAGGUCAGAAAGAAAUUCUCCCAAGAGGGGAGGGAGGCUUACAGCUUCUACCUGAACCUCUCAGGGUCUCCAUUUUCUUCAUCUUUCUCCAUCUCUUCCAUACAUCCAAACGACAAUGUCUUUUCCUUGAGAUAUAACUGACAAAUAAUAUUGUGUAAGUGUAAGGUGUAUAAAGUGAUGAUUUGACACAUGUAUAUAUUGCAAAAUGAUUACUGCAAAAAGGCUUAGUUAACAACAUACAUCACCUUACAUAGUACUUUUUAUUUUUCCUCUUUCAGACAAAAAAAAAAAAAGUUAAUAUCAUCCAUGCAUAUUGAGAAUACAAAUGAAUUCCAGAGGAUGGGGGUUAUUUACAGCCCACAUGCAAGCUCUGGCCUCAUUUUAUACCUUUAAGCAUCUCUAUCUUCUAGAAAGGCUCUCAGUUUUGCUUUCAGGAUGCCACAUGCUUUGAUCUAACUCCUUCUCCCUGGCUAUGUCUUCUCUUUUGGGAAUCCUUUUCUAUGCCUGUGUCUACAUAUUGAUGUUCCUUUCUUGGGUCCCACUUCCCUUUCACUCCACAUAUUUCUCUCUGCUAACCACAUUUAUUGUCACAGCUUCAGUUACCAUGGGUAGGCUGAGGGUUGGCUAAUCCACAGCUUUAGUCUAGACUCCCAUGUCUGCCCUAGAGCCCCAUAUUUUCCUGCUCAUUGGACAUCUAUCUCUUCUUGGAUGUCUUCUGGAUACCUUAACAUCAGUCCUAACUCACAGCCCUACCCCACAUCCUAACUCUUUACCUACAUUCCCCAUCUCUGCAAAUGGCACCAUCACCCUCUAGUUGCCCAACACCUUGACCUCUACUCCUCACUUUACAAACCAGUGAACUACAAAGUCAAGAGUCAAAUCCUGACCUCAUGAUUCAGGUCAAUAUGAUUCCCUCUGGGAUAUCCUAUGUAAUGGGACUCCCCACCUAGAAUUUUGCUCUCCUCCUCUCCACACAGACAGAGGGAGAAGCAGGCUCCAUGCAGAGAGCCUGACGUGGGACUCAUCCAGGGUCUCCAGGAUCACGCCCUGGGCUGCAGGCGGCGCUAAACCACUGCACCACCGGGGCUGCCCUCCAAUCUCUUUCUUAUCAUAGGACUCACAGAAAAUGACAACUUUUGUACAACACACUGGGAUAACCAUUUGAGAAUUCUGAAAGAAGCCACUAGGUUUUGUCUGUUAUCCCAGAGGCUAAGGGGUUCAUAAUCUGGGCUCUCUUCAAAGCCAUUCACACCACCCUGGGAGCCUCUGGACUAAUUCCUUCACCCUGCUGCAGUAGAGGGGCUUUCCAAUGCACAGACCUUACCAGGUCACUGUUCUCCUUAGACUCCUUCUGUGGCUUCCUGCCAGCUUGCAUGGCUCUACAAGCUCCUCCCUCACCAGCCUCCUUCCUCCUUCUUGCUUUCUCCUCACAUUCCCUUCCUCAUGUCCCAGUCACACCAAAAUGACUUGCAGUUGUUUUGGAGAGAGCUUUUGCUUCUAGAUUUCCCUGCCCUUCCCACAGCAGCCUGUACUCCCCUAAGGCUGGCACUCACUACUGUCCAACAUGGAAAUUCACAGAGGGCAGAACUCUGACAAGAACCAUGUCUGGCAUUGAGUGAGAACCCAAACAUUUCUUGAAGAGUGAGCAAAGGAAUGAGUCAGCUUUUGUGAUAAAGCACCAAACCAGGGGGUAGAAACUUGGGUCCCUGGUGUGCCUCCAGCCCACUGACCCACUCCAGAUACUCCUGUCUGGGCCUCAGUCUUCUUGCCCAUCAAGUGAGAGGACUGGUCUCUGAAAUCCUCUUCAGGGUAAAGGCCUGUGUUCCCUGGGGCACUUUGGAUCCCAGCAAUUCUACAAAACGUUGUAACUCUUGAUCUUUGCAAACAACUGGGGUUAAAUUUGUAACAAUUGCUAUAAAUUUCCUCACCAGCAGAAAUUGAAAAGUAACUAAAUGUAAACCAGUAUAUUUUUAAUAAUACUUUUUUUUUUUUUUUAAGUAGGCUCCAUGCCUAGCACAGAGCCCAGCAGGGGGCUUGCACUCAUGACCCUGAGAUCAAGACCCAAGCUGAGGGAUUCCCUGGGUGGCGCAGCAGUUUAGCGCCUGCCUUUGGCCCAGGGCGUGAUUCUGGAGACCCAGGAUUGAAUCCCACGUCAGGCUCCCGAUGCAUGGAGCCUGCUUCUCCCUCUGCCUAUGUCUCUGCCUCUCUCACUGUGUGCCUAUCAUAAAAAAAAAAAAAAAAAAAAAAAAAAAAGACCCAAGCUGAGAUCAAGAGUCAGAUGUUCAACUCAUGAGCCAUCCAGGUGCCCCAAUUUUUAAUGAUACUUUUU
rnacentral:lncRNA from 1 species